CUCGUCAUCAAGUCUAGCUACA
rnacentral:siRNA from 1 species